UAGCUGAUUGAGAGGAUGAUCAGCCACAUUGGGACUGAGACACGGCCCAAACUCUACGGGAGGCAGCAGUAGGGAAUCUUGCACAAUGGAGGAAACUCUGAUGCAGCGAUGCCGCGUGAGUGAAGAAGGCCCUUGGGUUGUAAAGCUCUUUCGUCGGGGAAGAAAAUGACUGUACCCGAAUAAGAAGGUCCGGCUAACUUCGUGCCAGCAGCCGCGGUAAUACGAAGGGACCUAGCGUAGUUCGGAAUUACUGGGCUUAAAGAGUUCGUAGGUGGUUAAAAAAGUUGGUGGUGAAAUCCCAGAGCUUAACUCUGGAACUGCCAUCAAAACUUUUUAGCUAGAGUGUGAUAGAGGAAAGCAGAAUUUCUAGUGUAGAGGUGAAAUUCGUAGAUAUUAGAAAGAAUACCGAUUGCGAAGGCAGCUUUCUGGAUCAUUACUGACGCUGAGGAACGAAAGCAUGGGUAGCGAAGAGGAUUAGAUACCCUCGUAGUCCAUGCUGUAAACGAUGUGUGUUAGAUGUUGGAAAUUUAUUUUCAGUAUCGCAGUGAAAACGUUAAACACACCGCCUGGGGAGUACGACCGCAAGGUUAAAACUCAAAUGAAUUGACGGGGACCCGCACAAGUAGUGGAGCAUGUGGUUUAAUUCGAAGAUACGCGCAGAACCUUACCAACACUUGACAUGUUUGUCGCGACUUUAAGAGAUUAAAGUCUUCGGUUCGGCCGGACAAAACACAGGUGCUGCAUGGCUGUCGUCAGCUCGUGUCGUGAGAUGUUGGGUUAAGUCCCGCAACGAGCGCAACCCUCACUUUUAGUUGCCAUCAUUUAGUUGGGCACUCUGAAAGAACUGCCAGUGAUAAGCUGGAGGAAGGUGGGGAUGACGU
rnacentral:rRNA from 1 species